AAUCAACUAUAGCUUUGCCAGUGCCUACCAUGAUCACAUAAGCAAUGUCAUAAUUUAAAAUAAUCAUGGCUGGCCCCAGGUCCUGAAACACAACUACUCAAAUAAAAUUUGGGUUCUGAUUUUGCAAGAAAGAAAUAUCUGAGUCAUUCUUAGGCAGUCAACAUGAUUUGCCACAGUUGGGUGAGUUUCUUCCAGAAAAGUAGCAAUAAAGCAUAGUCAUUUGUUCCCUACAGGUGAGACUCUUUCAUGAUAACAAGAGUUGCCAUAAUUAUCUGGCUUCUGUCAGAGAAAAGAAAUUUCCAGGUGAAUCACUGGGCAAAGGCUCAUGCCCAUUGAAGGAACCAAGCCUUGUUGACAUCAUUUCUCAGAGGCUGUUUGAAGAGUUCUGGAAAGGAUUUGAAAACCAGGCAUACAAACCCGGACCAUCUAAUUGCCAAUGAAGAAGAAUGAAUUACUCUGCAAUUAUAUUAAAGGUGAAAGAGGUCCCAGGGCACAAUUUGAACAGAAACUGUACUGACAUGGGAUAAAAGCUUGAUUGGUGACAGCCCUGACUAUUAAGAUAUUGAACCUGAGUUCAAAGGGAGGACAAGAGUAACUUUAUGUUUGACAACCUUUAGACAAGGUUAGUGCCCUUGACUAAGUAAAUGCCAACUUAUCCAGAUAAAACAUUCCAUUUCACAGAUCCCUUCUUCAUCCAUCAAUAGGGGCAAAAAUGCUCUCAGAUUUACUUAUCAGAAUAGUCACCUGCACUUGUCCUUAAGUUUCACAUUCAAGUCAUUAUUUUGGCCACUGUCCAGUGACAGAUAAAUUUAUGGCAGAGCAGAUAGAUGGACCCACUCUUCCGGAGUUGUAGGUGGUUGGCCACCUUCUGGAAUUCAUUAACAACAAAGGUUGAUAUGGCCUGAAAAUAGAGGUAGAUUGCAAGCAGGUUUUGAUAAUUCUUGGAUGACAGAUCAUAAUAGGUUAGUAUGAAAAAAGAGGCUCAAUCAUUACCCACUGAACCUCUAUUAGGGUUGUCACAUAAAAUACAGAACACUCUAUUAAACUGGAGUUUCAAAUAAAUAUGAAUAAUAUUUUAGA
rnacentral:lncRNA from 1 species